rnacentral:snRNA from 2 species
AUACUUACCUGGACGGGGUCGAUGGGCGAUCAAGAAGGCCCAUGGCCUAGAUCAGUGGCCCACAUUGCACUUGGGUGCGCUGGUCUACCAUCUCCCCAAGUGGGAGAGUGGACGUCAUAAUUUGUGGCAGAGGGGGUACGCGUUCGCGCGGCCCCCGC